rnacentral:lncRNA from 1 species
GGGGAAAGAGUCUGCAAAUGCAAAUUGUGAACCCUCCUUGUCUCCACUGAGGCUGCAGGUCCACCUCACAGUACAGCCCUGGGAGAUAAGAGUGAGCAGAAGAAGAAAGAGCGCCCCCACCCCCACCCCAGGCUCCAUGCACGGGGUUGAGUUAUCCUGGGAAAACCAUGCCGGGCAGGUUGGACCCUGAGCAGGCCAACAGCGCCUGAGUGAGGAAGACAACUGACCAGGAUUGGGAUCCGUGGGAAGCCACAGCUAACAGUGUCCUCGGAGGGAGCCAGCCAGAACAAACAUUUUCCAUGAGAAAGCAUCCCCAACCCAUCAUCAGUC